AGAGUUUGAUCCUGGCUCAGAACGAACGCUGGCGGCGUGGAUCAGACAUGCAAGUCGAACGAGGUUAGUCUGGUAGCAAUACUGGGCUGACCUAGUGGCGAACGGGUGCGUAACACGUGACCAACCUGCCUAAAAGUGGGGGAUAGCUCGCCGAAAGGCGGAUUAAUACCGCAUGUGAUCGUAAGAUUAAAGCAGCAAUG
rnacentral:rRNA from 1 species